UAUACCGUGAAACUGCGAAUGGCUCAUUAAAUCAGUUAUCGUUUAUUUGAUAGUACCUUACUACAUGGAUAACCGUGGUAAUUCUAGAGCUAAUACAUGCUAAAAACCCCAACUUCGGGAGGGGUGUAUUUAUUAGAUAAAAAACCAACGCCCUUCGGGGCUUCUUGGUGAUUCAUAAUAACUUUACGGAUCGCAUGGCCUUGCGCCGGCGACGGUUCAUUCAAAUUUCUGCCCUAUCAACUUUCGAUGGUAAGGUAUUGGCUUACCAUGGUUUCAACGGGUAACGGGGAAUUAGGGUUCGAUUCCGGAGAGGGAGCCUGAGAAACGGCUACCACAUCCAAGGAAGGCAGCAGGCGCGCAAAUUACCCAAUCCCGACACGGGGAGGUAGUGACAAUAAAUACUGAUACAGGGCUCUUUUGGGUCUUGUAAUUGGAAUGAGUACAAUUUAAACCUCUUAACGAGGAACAAUUGGAGGGCAAGUCUGGUGCCAGCAGCCGCGGUAAUUCCAGCUCCAAUAGCGUAUAUUAAAGUUGUUGCAGUUAAAAAGCUCGUAGUUGAAACUUGGGUCUGGCUGGCAGGUCCGCCUCACCGCGUGUACUUGUCCGGCCGGGCCUUCCUUCUGGAGAACCUCAUGCCCUUCACUGGGCGUGUUGGGGACCAGGACUUUUACUUUGAAAAAAUUAGAGUGUUCAAAGCAGGCCUUUGCUCGAAUACGUUAGCAUGGAAUAAUAGAAUAGGACGUGCGGUCCUAUUUUGUUGGUUUCUAGGACCGCCGUAAUGAUUAAUAGGGACAGUCGGGGGCAUCAGUAUUCAAUUGUCAGAGGUGAAAUUCUUGGAUUUAUUGAAGACUAACUACUGCGAAAGCAUUUGCCAAGGAUGUUUUCAUUAAUCAGUGAACGAAAGUUAGGGGAUCGAAGACGAUCAGAUACCGUCGUAGUCUUAACCGUAAACUAUGCCGA
rnacentral:rRNA from 1 species